UACGUAGGGUGCGAGCGUUUGUCCGGAAUUAUUGGGCGUAAAGGGCUCGUAGGCGGUUUGUCGCGUCGGGAGUGAAAACUCAGGGCUUAACCCUGAGUCUGCUUCCGAUACGGGCAGACUAGAGGUAUGCAGAGGAGAACGGAAAUUCCUGGUGUAGCGGUGAAAUGCGCAGAUAUCAGGAGGAACACCGGUGGCGAAGGCGGGUCUCUGGGCCGAUACUGACGCUGGAGAAGCGAAAGCAUGGGGAGCAAACAGG
rnacentral:rRNA from 1 species